CCAGUCCCAAGCAAAUGGCUCUCACUAUACCCUUCAGUUGCUUGCAAAAGUUCAUAAUAUGAGACCCUUAGAGUUGUGCCAGGUGUAAAGUCUGCUCCAUUUUCCACCAAAUGUUUCCUUCGGUAUCUUCCAAUUGCAUGCGCCGAGGCCAUGACAAUUAAAUUUAGUACUAUAAUCCCCAACAAAGAAAAUACAACUACAAGCAUUGGUUUUCUUUUUGUCUACCAGUAGGACAUGAUGGGAGACCAUAUAUAGGAUCACCACAUAAUCCUUCAUUAGACAUGAAGGGUUUACUUGAAAAGUUUUUGAAAGGAUCACCAGAAAAAACUUCACCAGUUAAAUCAUUGAAAGAAACAUCCAAGUACAUGAGAUACUUGAGUGUUUCCAAGGAUUUGGAGAUAUUACCAGAAAGAUUGUUAUGAGAUAGAUCUAGUUGCUCCAUGCUCAGCAUCUUACCCACAGACUCUGGAAUAGAUCCUUGCAGUGAGUUAUGUGCUAAAGAAAGAUCACUUAAGGUUUGUAAAUCCCAAAUUGUGUUUGGAACACUACCUGGCAAUCGAUUGAUGGAUAGAUCGAUAAGAAAUGCAAACUUCAGGCUCCCAAUUUCUUGCAGGUAUGCUGGAAGUCAAUCUGUUGGUAUCGAUAUAUUUAAUAUCUACAGCUUGUAAAUGAAAUGAUGAACCUCAAUUCUGGAGAUUUACUAAUGAAAUUGUUCGCAGUGAAGUCUACGCUUUCAAUGAGUUUUGAUAUAAUGCGAAUCAAAUAGGAGCUAAAUUUCCUCAAUUGAGAUUUCGAUAAAUUUUAAAAAUCAUUCCAAACUCAGGUAUUCACAAUUGAGAUUUUAAUGUAUUUUAAUGAAAAUAAAUUAAAAUCUAGGUAUCACCGACUGAGAUCUUAAUGAAUUUCAAUGAAAUCUUUUAAAAUUUAAGUAUUCUCAAUAACUCUCAUACUUUUGAAAGGAUUUCAUUAAUAGAAAAAUUUUACAAGAUUUGGAUGUAUUUCGUGCUUAAAAAUGCAUAUAAUAAAUGCUUUUGAAAUUUAAGAAUUUUCAAUGAAAUUUUUAUGAGUUUUGUGAAAAUCUAUUCAAAUUCACGAAAUUUAUUACAAUUUUUAAUCUUUUAAAUUCCAUCAAAAAUCUAACUUGAGGCACUCAUUCAAUAUCAACAAAGUAAGCCCUCAUUUGGCCAUCAAUUUUUGGAAUAGUAUUAUUUUUUUUGAGAAUAUGUGGCUUAAAAAAAAAAGAAAUUUUUGAUUUACAAGUAAUAUUGUUUUAUGAAAGAUUGUGUGAUUGAAAAUAAGAGAAAGAAGAACAAAUUUUUGGAACAAUGGGGCCAAACAAGGGCUAAACAAUUUGACUUUACCAUAAAAUAAUAUGAACGUAUGCUAUAAUAGUUUAAAAUGAUGCAACAUCAAACAUCAAAUCAAAUGUUAGCCUGCUUAGCUUUCUUUAUUAUGUUGAAAAAUAUUGCUGAUUUCAAAUAAACCAUUGUCAUGACUUCACCUUCCUUAAACGGUUACUCAUCCCUGUAAUUCGAAUUAGUUUAUAAAUAAUAUGCCUUUGUCUGGGCUCCAUUAAAAAUGUAUUUGUAGCGAGAAUACAUUUUUGAAUUGUACUAUUUUGGAGAAUGUGUGGUUAAAAAAUAAGAAAAAGUUUCAAUUUUACGUGUAAUAUUUUUUUAUUGAAAAAUGAGUAGUUGAAAGAGAAAAAUGUAUUUUUGGAGAAUGGAGGCCAAAUAUUGUUGCAAAAAAUAAUGAUAAUAAUAAUAAUAAUAAUAAUAAUAAUAAUAAUAAAUAAAUAAAUAAUAAAAUUAAAUUGAACAAGACAUAAUACCAACUUACAAAUUUUAGAAAAAUGCAAAAAAUAAACUUUGAUUGAGGUAAGGUUUGAUUCAUUUUUCUUACGACAAAAUUGUAUUGUAUGGGUUCUUAUGAUUUUCGGUACAUGUCUUUCAUGAUAAAACAGUCAACUGUUAUAAUAGUAACGCAGUUUUUGAAUUCUUUAUGGACUACGAAUGAGACUGCAAAAUUUAAAAUUUACCUGGAAUAAUAUGCUAUUGGAGUAUUAUAGGGUGUAAUAUGAAAGAGGAUGAGAAUUGAAUGAAAUUAUGCAAAGAUAGAAGGCCACAUUAUAACUAUUGGAAAGUUGUGCUUGAAAAGUCAAAAAUGCUGAAAAGCACUUGUAGAUGUUUGAACACGAACGUUAUAGAAAGCUGAUAACACGUAGUGCAUUUUGGUUAACUCAAAUGGAAGUAAUAAAAAUAUUAAGUACAAUAAAAUAUAAAUAAAAUUUUAUUUUAUUCUCCAGAAGGAUAGAUACCGAUUUGGGGAGUUAAUUGUCCAAAUAAUCAGUGAACAAGUGAACCUAUGAUCACGUCGUUGAUUGUUUACUGAAAUUUAAGAUGUUGAGAUUUGAUUUCUAUAUUUAUCAAAACGGUCGACAUUACAAGCUAGUGUAACUUUUGUUUAUAACUUCUAACGAAAGUGGUGACGUGGCAAUGAAAUGUCCAGGUGUCACCAUAUCGUCGUUAUCAUAUAAAAUACUUUUCCAUUAUUCACUAUACUUUAAAAAAUGUUUUCAAUUGUUCACUAUACAUUGAAAAGCAUCUUUGAUUGCUCAUUAAACUUUCAAAGUCGACGAAUUUUGGCUACUAAACUUGUGAAAAUGAAGUCUAGUAUGUGAGCAAUCGAAGACAUUUUUCAAAGUAUAGUGAGCAAUCGAAAAUAUUUUUCAAAGUAUUCUGAGCAAUUGAACACGUUUUCCCAAAGUAUAGCAAGCAAUCAAACACCUUUUCAAUGUACAAUGAGCAAUCGAAGAUGUUUUCUAAAGUAUAGAGAGAAAUGAAAUACAAUUUUUUAGGUGAUAACGGAGAUGUUGCGCAAAAAUUAUAUUGUGUGGGUUUACAUGAAUUUCCUGAUUUUGGUUUUUAUAUAUAUAUAUAUAUAUAUUCAACUUCUAGAAAGCAAAAAUAUUUACGGACAAAACACCGACUUCUAGAAAGCAUUCAAGACAUCCAGAGAAUUCAACUUAUAAACUAAGAAAGUUCGAACAAGAUUUAAUUGCAUGUUAUAUAACUUGACAGACAAAAUAUAUAAUCUCCACAGAAUUACUGAAUCAUCAUAGAGUACAUAGAGAACACAUUGCAUUAUGCUGUUAAAUUUAAAACUGUUGUUAAGCAAGGAGCCGAAAUUUGAUAUUCUUCAUUGCUGUUACAACUUCUUUCAUGUUCACCCUCUCACUGGCACUCUCCAUGGAGCAAUUUAAAGCAAGUUCCAUUAUAGAUGACAAACAUCUCAACUUCUUUGUGUCGUGCUCUUCUAACCCCAACAAGUUCGAAUCUAUAAUCCGAGUAAUUGCAUAAGGCAUAGAAUCAUUUAUCCAGCUCCUUAGGUUUAAAUCUCCCGAGAACUUUUCAUCACUUGGUUUCAUUUGUGUAAAUAUUUCCAUUAACAUAAUGCCAUAGCUAUAAACAUCACAUCUUAUUGACACGGAUCCUUCCAAUCCAUAUUCUACAUAAACCAUUAUAAAAUUCAUUAGUCGUAUUACGUUGUCGUUACACUGUAUUAGAAAUAUAUAUAAGUUGCAUUAUGUGUGGUUGUAUAUUGUAAUCUACUGUACAUCUAAAAAUUUAUAAAGCAUUACUAUGUUUUUAUUUUUGCUAACAUUGAAUAUGAAUAUUAACAAUCUAAAUUACCCUUAUCCGCUCUAACCUGGUGGACUAAACGUACCUUAAAUGCUUAAGAGAAAAGAUUGGAGUAAGAGAUAGGGGAUUUACCAGGUGCAAUGUAACCUAAUGUUCCCAAGGUUGUAGUGUAUGCAUUGCUUUCUCCUUCAUCCAAUAACUUAGAAAUUCCAAAAUCACUUAAAUGGGCAACAAAAUCUUCAUCCAGCAGAACAUUACUUGGUUUCAAAUCACAGUGAACAAUAGGCAUUGAGUAGCUAUAGUGCAGAUAUUCCAAUGCGUAUGCUACGUCUAUCAUGAUGUUAAUUCUCUGCAAGAUAUCCAACACAUAGUCAUCUGAAUACAACCACUUCUCAAGGCUUCCAUUAGACAUGUACUCAAGCACCAAGGCUUUGAAAUUUGGAUUGGAGCAAGUACUAAUGACUUUGCACAAAUUCCUGUGGCGAAGGUUGCGUAAUACUUCACAUUCUACAUCAAAACUCUUGAAUGCAUUUUGUUGUUGCAAAUUGAAAACCUUCACUGCCACAUCCCUUCCAUUAUUGAGAGUCCCUCUAUAGACAGAGCCCAAACUCCCAGUCCCAAGCAAAUGGCUCUCACUAUACCCUUCAGUUGCUUGCAAAAGUUCAUAAUAUGAGACCCUUAGAGUUGUGCCAGGUGUAAAGUCUGCUCCAUUUUCCACCAAAUGUUUCCUUCGGUAUUUUCCAGUUGCAUACGCCAAGGCCAUGACAAUUAAAAUUAGUAUUGUAAUCCCAAUCAAAGAAAAUACAACUGCAAGCAUCACUUUUCUUUUCUUUUGUCUACCUGUAGGACAUGAUGGGAGACCAUAUAUAGGAUCACCACAUAAUCCAUCAUUAGAAAUGAAGGAUUUACUUGAAAAGUUUUUGAAAGGACCACUAGAAGGAACUUCACCACUUAAAUCAUUGAAAGAAACGUCCAAG
rnacentral:lncRNA from 1 species